UACGUAGGGUGCAAGCGUUAAUCGGAAUUACUGGGCGUAAAGCGUGCGCAGGCGGUUAUAUAAGUCAGAUGUGAAAUCCCCGGGGUUAACCUGGGAACUGCAUUUGUGACUGUUUAGCUAGAGUACGGUAGAGGGGGGUGGAAUUCCGCGUGUAGCAGUGAAAUGCGUAGAUAUGCGGAGGAACACCGAUGGCGAAGGCAAUCCCCUGGACCUGUACUGACGAUCAUGCACGAAAGCGUGGGGAGCAAACAGGAUUAGAUACCCUGGUAGUCCACGCCCUAAACGAUGUCAACUGGUUGUUGGGUCUUAACUGACUCAGUAACGAAGCUAACGCGUGAAGUUGACCGCCUGGGGAGUACGGCCGCAAGGUUG
rnacentral:rRNA from 1 species